rnacentral:misc_RNA from 1 species
AUAAGAGUCAAGUUUGUAUUUAAAUUUUUGAUACAAUACAUUAAUCAUGUUGGAUUCAUGUUAACCCUAAUCGUUUUUCGUGUUAACACAAACAUGAUACAUAUACAUCUUUCAUUGAUAUCAUUUCUCGUUACAAGCCUAGCACAAUAAAACUAUAUACUACCCCACUUGUACAACUGUUGUAUAUCAUCUAAGGUCAUAAUUGCUAUUUCCCUUGUAAUAAUGUAUUAAAAUGAUUAUACACAAGUUGUAAAUACAACCUCUAUUCUAUGCCAAUAUGCAAUGAUCAGAAUUUUGAAGACCUCUUGCUUGGAGUUGGGUAUUGUUUAGUUAAUCUCAGUACUCCUUUGUGGAUAAAAGAAUUAAUCAUUAAAGAAGCAGAAAUUCAAAUAGCGUGAGAAAUUUGUCACAUGUCAUGUCGAUUGAGGAAGUCGAUUAUGCAUGGAUACACCUGAUUUGCAGCCAGACAACUUCCCACUAGAUCAUAGUGAGCAUAAUGUGGACCCCAGGGCUCCCCGAAAACUUUGUAAGUAACAAGAUGCUCAGGGAUGACCUUUACGGUUUCAUAUACAGCUUCUGGUGGACAGAUGAGAUCUUUAUCACCAGCAAUUGCCAACACAGGAACUUUGCUUUUGCCUAGAUGAUCCUUGUAAAAGAAAGAUCCAUUCCGGUUUCUUAAUCCACCCUCCUGAAAUGCUGUUGUCAGCUGCAAGAGAAGUUUAGCAGGCACCGUGCAGAAGUUGUUCAUAACGAGCUUUUCAAACAAUUGUGGAUGCAUCAUGCCUGGAGCAGAAAUUUGAGAAUUUAACCAAGACAAGAUGUAAGGAGGACGAGAUGCAAAAGGAUGAGCAGCUGCUGCCAAUGCUCCAAUUGGAAUAACAGGAACAUUUAGUGUCUUUGCAGGGUCUGCCUGAAGAUAUUAAGACCUAAAAUCAGCCAAUCAUUGUUUUUUUGUCUACAGCCACAUGCGAAAAAAAAGUUAUUUGAAAUGAUUAGAUUUGCAAAUCACUUGCCACUGGUAAGAGCAAUUUGAGAGAUGAUUUUGAAGGUGUGUAGUCAAGUGAUGAAGCCAAAGUGGCAACUGAUGUCAACCCUGAAUCCCUUCCUUCAAAAGCUUAUAAUAUAACAUCAUUUUAGAAGAAAACAAAAACAAAAACUCUACUCUACAAGGUCACUUAGACUAUCAAAACAAGUUGAAUACAAAAAUGAAACUUCAGUUGAAAACCUAACACAACAUGUCCAUUGCCAAAGACAAUUUGAAACUGUGGAAAUGACCAAUAAUUCAUUAAUGCUGCCUACAAACUCAUAAGAGAAAAUAUAAGGUAAGAACUAUAAAACACUUGACUUUGGAGGACACAUAAGUCAUACUUGAACCUCUUGCAACUAACAUUUAGCCAAGCUCAAGCAAUUUUAUGACCUAAACUCUUCAAUGUACCAAAUAUUAGUGAUGCUAGAUCAAUGUCAUAGCCCAUGAUGUUUGACAAAACCUACUAAAUAUGUAACUAUGCUUUAGAUUUCCAUAACUACAGCUGCAAGGAGCCCACCCACAGAGUUCAUAAGCUAGUCAAACUGAGCAUGAUUUAAGAACAAGUUUCUUUCUGAACAAGCAGAGUUUUUCUGAAACUGUGACUCUUUGGAGGAUAAUUAACAAACUGAUUCAUCCAGUUUAAAUUCAAGACCAGAUCAAUUUGAAAUCCCCCUAUAAUUGCUGAUAUAUUACUCUGCUUCACACAUCCAAGCAAUGCAGGAUAUGAAUGUGAACAGAUAUAUAAGGACAAGUUUGGCAAGGCAUCUUACAGCAUUGUGAGAGCAUAGCAUAUAGAAGAAUGCCCCCCAUGGAGUGCCCAACUGCAAGCAAUUUGCCAUCAUUUGGUCCACAUUGGAUCCUUAUGUACUCCAUCUAAGAUAACAAUAUUAAUCAUUCAACGAGAAUAUUGCAAGUAAUGUAAAAAUAAAAAAGAUUGCAAUGAAGAUGAGUAAGUAUUAACACAUAUCAACACUCUAGAUUAAACUCAUUUAUGCUGAAGAAACAAAACCUCACCGCAGCAGGCAAAUCCUGUUCCAGGUAAUGAUCAAAGUCCCAAUCAUACUUCACAAUCAAGUCAAGCUGUUUGAGAAAAUCCUCAAGUGAAGUAGAGAUGCGCUCUUGGAAGUCAUAAAACUGUGGUUUGGCAGAUUGAUGGCCAUCUUCAAUAAAACCGACAAUCUUUCUAGUAAAAUCCUUAAUUUGGAUUGCAAUAGCAGAGUUUUUCCCUUCGUCAAGAAGGCCAGAGAGUCUUUCAAAUAAAUGGAUAAAUUUCUCCGACAACUUGGAAAUCGAUUUGUUAGAUCUAUAGUCUGUAUCUGUUCUUUCACCUUCUAAUAAAGAAAUCUCAGAAUCCUCGUCAUAGUCGUCCACGUCCAAUGCACUCAAUCCAGCUCCUCGAACUUCCAGAAUCCACGUAUCAAACCCUUGGCCAGACAUGAAGCGUGCGAACGAAGACUCAGGAGAGAGAUCAUAUCCAAUAGCGUUUGUUCCAACCCCUGACAAAAGCAACAGAGGAUGAUUCCUACGCUGCGCCCUAGGAGAAGGCAGGUAACGCCAGAGAGCGAGUUUCCAAUCGGAAGAGGAAACAGGGACAUAGUGCAGCUCAUCGGCCGUACAGGUCUCAGGCUUCAUCUUCACAGCCCUUAGAGUCGCGGGGGGCGGAGAAGACGACGUCUUGGAGGGAGCGGAGUUUCUUAGGGAGCAAAUUGGGGAGCUCGGAACCGGAAGAGACAAUGCCAUGCCUAUUCU